rnacentral:rRNA from 1 species
AGAGUUUGAUCCUGGCUCAGAACGUACGCUGGCGGCACGCCUAACACAUGCAAGUCGAACGAAGUAGCAAUACUUAGUGGCAGACGGGUGAGUAACAUGUAGGUAUCUGCCCUUUGGCCUGGAAUAACACGAGGAAACUUGUGCUAAUACCGGAUAAGUCUUUACGGAGAAAGCUUUAUGCACCAUUGGAUGAGCCUGCACUUGAUUAGUUUGUUGGUGGGGUAAUGGCCUACCAAGACUGUGAUCAAUAGCUGAUUUGAGAGGAUGAUCAGCCACAUUGGGACUGAGACACGGCCCAAACUCCUACGGGAGGCAACAGUGGGGAAUCUUGCACAAUGGAGGAAACUCUGAUGCAGCGAUGCCGCGUGAGUGAAGAAGGCCUUUGGGUUGUAAAGCUCUUUCGUCGGGGAAGAAAAUGACUGUACCCGAAUAAGAAGGUCCGGCUAACUUCGUGCCAGCAGCCGCGGUAAUACGAAGGGACCUAGCGUAGUUCGGAAUUACUGGGCUUAAAGAGUUCGUAGGUGGUUGAAAAAGUUGGUGGUGAAAUCCCAGAGCUUAACUCUGGAACUGCCAUCAAAACUUUUCAGCUAGAGUUUGAUAGAGGAAAGCAGAAUUUCUAGUGUAGAGGUGAAAUUCGUAGAUAUUAGAAAGAAUACCAAUUGCGAAGGCAGCUUUCUGGAUCAUUACUGACGCUGAGGAACGAAAGCAUGGGUAGCGAAGAGGAUUAGAUACCCUCGUAGUCCAUGCUGUAAACGAUGUGUGUUAGACGUUGGAAAUUUAUUUUCAGUGUCGCAGCGAAAGCAAUAAACACACCGCCUGGGAGUACGACCGCAAGGUUAAAACUCAAAUGAAUUGACGGGGACCCGCACAAGUAGUGGAGCAUGUGGUUUAAUUCGAAGAUACGCGCAGAACCUUACCAACACUUGACAUGUUCGUCGCGACUUUAAGAGAUUAAAGUUUUCGGUUCGGCCGGACGAAACACAGGUGCUGCAUGGCUGUCGUCAGCUCGUGUCGUGAGAUGUUGGGUUAAGUCCCGCAACGAGCGCAACCCUCACUUUUAGUUGCCAUCAUUUAGUUGGGCACUCUGAAAGAACUGCCAGUGAUAAGCUGGAGGAAGGUGGGGAUGACGUCAAGUCCUCAUGGCCCUUACGUGUUGGGCUACACACGUGCUACAAUGGCAUUUACAAUAGGAGGCAAAACGGCGACGUUAAGCAAAUCCUAAAAAAAUGCCUCAGUUCGGAUUGUACUCUGCAACUCGAGUACACGAAGCUGGAAUUACUAGUAAUCGCGGAUCAGCGCGCCGCGGUGAAUACGUUCCCGGGUCUUGUACACACCGCCCGUCACACCAUGGGAGUUGGUUCUACCUUAAGGCAAAGGUUAAAAACUUUGACCACGGUAUAGUCAGCGACUGGGGUGAAGUCGUAACA